rnacentral:tRNA from 1 species
GUAGUGGCUCAGCGGUAGAGCAUUUGCCUAGCACAUUCAAGGCCCUGGGUUCGAUCCUCAGCACCACA